rnacentral:rRNA from 1 species
CUGAAUAACUACGCUGAUCGCACGGUCUCGAACCGGCGACAUAUCCUUCAAGUGUCUGCCUUAUCAACUGUCGAUGGUAGUUUACAUGACUACCAUGGUUGUAACGGGUAACGGAGAAUAAGGGUUCGACUCCGGAGAGGGAGCCUGAGAAACGGCUACCACAUCCAAGGAAGGCAGCAGGCGCGCAAAUUACCCACUCUCAGAACGAGGAGGUAGUGACGAAAAAUAACGAGAUAGUUCUCUAUGAGGUCUAUCAUCGGAAUGGGUACAAUCUAAACCCUUUAACGAGGAUCUAUUGGAGGGCAAGUCUGGUGCCAGCAGCCGCGGUAAUUCCAGCUCCAAUAGCGUAUAUUAAAGUUGUUGCGGUUAAAAAG